AGGCUGAGUGGCAGAAUGGAUUAUGCGGUGGCCUGCAAAGCCAUUAAUGUCGGUUCAAUCCCGGCCUCAGCUUA
rnacentral:tRNA from 1 species